AUUGAACGCUGGCGGCAGGCCUAACACAUGCAAGUCGAACGAGUGGCGGACGGGUGAGUAAUGUCUGGGAAACUGCCUGAUGGAGGGGGAUAACUACUGGAAACGGUAGCUAAUACCGCAUACCAUCGGAUGUGCCCAGAUGGGAUCAGCUAGUAGGUGGGGUAAAGGCUCACCUAGGCGACGAUCCCUAGCUGGUCUGAGAGGAUGACCAGCCCCACUGGCACUGGUGCACGGUCCAGACUCCUACGGGCGGCGGCAGUGGGGCAUAUUGCACAAGGGGCGCAGGCCGUAUGCAGCCAUACCGCUUGUAUGAAGAAGGCCUUCGGGUUGUAAAGUACUGUCAGCGGUGAGUCGUUACCCGCUGAAGAAGCCCCGGCUAACUCCGAGCCAGCAGCCGCGGUAAUAC
rnacentral:rRNA from 1 species